rnacentral:rRNA from 1 species
UCGCCCGCCGCGCGCGGCGGGCCUACGGGAGGCAGCAGUGGGGAAUAUUGCACAAUGGGCGCAAGCCUGAUGCAGCCAUGCCGCGUGUAUGAAGAAGGCCUUCGGGUUGUAAAGUACUUUCAGCGGGGAGGAAGGUGCUGAGGUUAAUAACCUCAGCAAUUGACGUUACCCGCAGAAGAAGCACCGGCUAACUCCGUGCCAGCAGCCGCGGUAAUA